AGCGAACGCUGGCGGCAGGCCUAACACAUGCAAGUCGAGCGCCCAGCAAUGGGAGCGGCAGACGGGAGAGUAACACGUGGGAACGUGCCCUUCAGUUCGGAACAACCAAGGGAAACUUUGGCUAAUACCGGAUACGUCCGAAAGGAGAAAGAUUUAUCGCUGAAGGAGCGGCCCGCGUCUGAUUAGCUAGUUGGUGAGGUAAUGGCUCACCAAGGCGACGAUCAGUAGCUGGUCUGAGAGGAUGAUCAGCCUCACUGGGACUGAGACACGGCCCAGACUCCUACGGGAGGCAGCAGUGGGGAAUAUUGGACAAUGGGCGGCGAAGACCUCGAUCCAGCCAUGCCGCGUGGAU
rnacentral:rRNA from 1 species